GAAGGUGUAGCAUACUGCGCUGCGACUAUACGGCCGAGUUCGACCGACUUCAGUCGUCGUCAUCGCGUCGCCGCGUCGUGCUGUUCCGAGAGAAAGUCGGUGGCCCUGAACCGUCUCACAGAGGAGAGACUAUCGUGCGCUGUAUAACGGGUCGGUCACACGAUGCUGUGAGACGGAUCAUCGGCUUAUCUGAAUAAGACGCGUAACUUUUGACAGAGAGCCGUCGCGCUUGCUUCCUUUGCAUUGUUUACACUCGCGAGGGGUGUGUGUUUACUUACACGAUGGAGGAUACGAGGAUACCGCCCAACGUGUCGCAGCAGUACCUCAUGGUGAACGACGGCAACGCGACCUCGGCCUCGUCGGCCGAGUCCCAGACCGACACCGAGAAGCAGUCCUCGAGCUCCGCGAGCCCGGGACUCAGCUCCGUCACCAUCAGCGAGUGGAUAGCCGUCCUGGUGCUAUGCUUCGUAAACCUCAUCAACUACAUGGACAGGUUCACCAUAGCCGGUGUUCUGCAAUCAAUAAUUGAUGAUUUUCAUAUGGAUAACAGCGAGUCUGGUCUGCUCCAAACAGCAUUUAUCUUAAGUUACAUGAUAUUUGCUCCACUUUUUGGUUAUCUUGGAGAUCGAUACAACAGGAAAGUUAUCAUGAGCGCUGGAGUCUUUCUUUGGUGCUUGACUACAUUUGUUGGCUCAUUUAUGAAAUCCUAUGGAUGGUUUUUGUUCUUCCGAGCAUUGGUAGGAAUUGGAGAAGCCAGUUACUCUACAAUUGCUCCCACGAUCAUCAGUGACAUGUUUAUUAAAGAUGUGAGAUCUAAGAUGCUUGCACUUUUUUACUUUGCUAUUCCAGUCGGCAGUGGUUUAGGGUACAUAACUGGAGGAGAAACGGCUAGAGCAACAAAUCAAUGGCAGUGGGGACUGCGUAUAACGCCAAUCUUGGGAGUUUUUGCCAUCAUAAUGAUUUUGACAUUAGUGCGAGAUCCUAUUCGAGGUGAAAAAGAGGGAGGAUCCCACAUCAGCAGUAGCUCUUGGUCAGAAGACAUAAAAGCUCUGAUGAAAAAUCGGAGUUUCAUGUUUUCCACUGCAGCAUUUACUUGUGUAUCGUUUGUAACUGGAGCUCUUGCUUUUUGGGGACCUACCUUUAUCCAAUAUGGACUUAAGCUGCAAAAUAGUGGAGAAGAUGUUAAUCUUGAUGAUGUGGCCUACAAGUUUGGUGUAAUAGCAAUGAUAGCUGGUUUAAUAGGAGUACCUUUUGGUUCAAUGCUAGCGCAAAAAUUAAGAGUCCGUUGGCAUCAAGCUGACCCCUUGAUCUGCGCAGUUGGUCUUCUCAUAAGUGCUCCAUUAAUAUUCUUAGGAUCAGUUUUCGCUAGUUCAAAUGCAAUAGCCUGUUAUACUUUAAUAUUCUUUGGUCAAUUAGCCCUUAACUUAAAUUGGUCAAUUGUGGCUGAUAUGUUACUGUACGUCGUAAUACCAACGAGGCGAUCGACUGCAGAGGCAUUCCAAAUACUGUUCGCCCACGCGUUCGGUGACGCAGGCAGCCCGUAUCUAAUAGGCGUGAUAUCGGAUGCCUUGAAAUUUGUGAUACUGCCUAACUUGACAAUAGGCUGGGUCGAGCCCAAGACAGCAGCGUUGCAGAUGGACAAAGAUAUAGUCAAUUUCAGGAGUUUGCAAUACGCUCUGUUCCUUACUAUAUUUAUAGAAAUCUUAGGUAGUGCAUUCUUCUUCCUCACCGCCAUGUACAUUGAAAAGGACAAGGCGCUGGCCGAUAACACCAUUGCAGUGACGGUAAUCGACUUCAAAUUAAAAGGCCAGCGAAGUAGCGAAAAAGUUAUCUCCUUUUAUUACAAGCCGAGAUGCAAAUGAAAGCUCGUUCGUUUUUUGCAUCGGUAUCCAGGCACGUAAGACAAAUUUCUAGAAACUAAGAAAAAUGGGAAAGCAGCAUCGACGCGUUUAUAGAUCAUCAGCAGGGGAAUCACCCGAAAAGUAUGCUGUGCAUAUCUGAUGCCAUGGACUCCGACACAUCCGAGUUCGACGAGGAGCCCGAGGCUGAGUCUGUUAACGCUCUUAUCAAGCCGGAUUGACUCAGGCCCCAACAGCAGCAGCAGCAGCAGCAGCAGCAGUCGAGGCCCGACGAGUCCAAAGACACUGACGAUGGUGAGAGACGACGCUGGUGAUGACCGAAUCAUCAUCAUCCUCUGACUCCCCCCGCAGCGUCUGAGUUGCAAGCGUGUAUAGAAGAGAUGCUGCGUAAAGUGUACAUAUGCAGGCUGUACAUCUCUACGGAGGUAUAUCUGGCGCGGAAAAGACGUUUUAUGAGAAGAUUCUGGCCAAGGGGAUUGGACGUCCCGUGGAAAUUAGACACUGCCAAACGCACAGUUGCAAUACCGCACACUGCCGCUCGAAUUCAACGAGAACGGUCGUCGAACAUGGAAAUGGAUUUUCCUGUAAAAAAUGCAAUGCGUGUAGCGAGUCAUUGUUCCAAGUGAAGCGUUCGUUCACUCUAAGUCAAUGAAACUUCAUUUCCGCAUAGGGACGACGCUUCUGCCCUUUGUAUUCGAGCGGCAGCUGUUUUCAAAAUUUUGCCGCGAAUCAUUAUAGUGUAUAGUGCGAAAAACUAUAUGUCAUUUUUAAUUCGUUGUACACAUAGGUAUAGUACUAAGCAGUUUUUUCAUUCUGGAUGUGAACCGCGUAGUUGUUCCUGUCGCGAGUCUGCGUCAGCUGAGUGGCAAUAUUUACACUCACGUGAGAAAUCCGUGGAGAGAUACGGCGACGAAGCGCGCUUUUGUGGUUAUACAAUAAGUAGAACGUUCGUAAAUAAUGAAGUUAUGCGUGUGCUUGUGUAAGGUAUCUUGUAUACGCGCGUUGUACAUUUUCUCUAGCGUUGUUUGUAAAUGCUAUCUAUAUAUAUUUUUGUAAUAGUCGAAAGAAAGAGAGAGAGAGGGAAAAGUGUAACAACGUUCGAAAGUGAUACCCCUCGACUGAUCUAUCUUUAAAGAAGAUACGUAUAUGUAGUGCCGAAUGUGUGCGUUUGUUCUGGAGAGAAUUUAUUCUCUCCGUAUCGCCGACCUAAUGGGGUAAAUUCUGAACUCCGGAAAGUACGCCUGGUUUUUCGCGAGAGUUGAUGGCAAGUGGUCUCUUUUGAAAAGUCUUUUAUCGGCUAAGGCGAGAUGUGAAUACAAUUUGAUGUUUCUGUGAUCCACGGUUUUUCCAUGAGAUUAUUUUUACGUUCAAUCUGUUUUAUGGCAAGGAUUUCAAUUUUACACAAGUAUACAACUGAUUUAAAUAACUUUACACGUAGAAAUCCCACGCGAGAUCUUGCAUUUUUAAUUUUAUACAUGCAGAACAAAAUUAAUUAUUUGAAAAUGAUUGGAAAGUUCAUAAAGCUAAGCCUUAACUGCAUAAUUAGCACUUACUAAGAGAGCACUGAUUUUUCGUUCGUAUUUACAUGUAAAAAAGUAUUUUAUAAUCGUCAUCGCAACGAUCAUUCUUCCAUUUAUACGUCAAUCGCAAUCAUCUAUUUAUUUUUCAAAAACUCCUGAAUACAAAUUUAUUUUGGCAGUACUCGAUUCAUGCAAGAACUGCAUACGUCCAAAAUUCUAUAUUCGAGUUAAAGCGUAUAUUUCAGUCUAAAUAGAUGGCCAGAGCUGCUUGGCUGUACCGUUUUUUUUUUGAGACGUUUAACCGACAGUCGUUAUACAUUUUCGAAUUAAAUGUUUGAACACAUGUAUACGCGUUCGCCGGUGUAAAAAUGAGCGUGAAAGCGCUACGCGAGUCUUUCGCGCGUGGCCGCCGACCACCGUACUCUUGUACGGUAUAUAUAAUUGAGUUCGUUGAGUAUUUGCAGAGGCGAGCGCGCGAGCGCGAGAGAGAAUACCAUGUUAAUUAGUUGCUAAAUACCCCAACUUGCUAGACUGAGAAGCGAUGCAGUUUCGUGCGUUAAACAUGUAUUAUAUAGGUAUAUAUAUAUAUUAUAGAAGGUCGCUGGAUUAUUAUUUUACUUACACGUUAACAAUGUAUAUUUAAAAUUAUAUUGGUUGCGAAUAAUGGUCGUUUAUAUAUGAUGAGCAGAUUUUUGGCACACUGUACGAAAUAAAUCUUAUAGUUUUUUUCUACAA